ACAAAUUAGAGUGCUCAAAGCAGGCAGUUGCAAGCCUGAAUAUUGUGUGCAUGGAAUAAUGGAAUAGGACCUCGGUUCUAUUUUGUUGGUUUUCGGAACCAGAGGAAAUGAUUAAAAGGAACAAGUGGGGGCAUUCGUAUUGCGACGUUAGAGGUGAAAUUCUUGGAUCGUCGCAAGACGGACAUAAGCGAAAGCAUUUGCCAUAAGUGUUUUCAUUAAUCAAGAACGAAAGUUAGAGGUUCGAAGGCGAUCAGAUACCGCCCUAGUUCUAACCAUAAACGAUGCCAGCCAGCGAUCCGCCGAAGUUCCUCCGAUGACUCGGUGGGCAGCUUCCGGGAAACCAAAGCUUUUGGGUUCCGGGGGAAGUAUGGUUGCAAAGCUGAAACUUAAAGGAAUUGACGGAAGGGCACCACCAGGAGUGGAGCCUGCGGCUUAAUUUGACUCAACACGGGAAACCUCACCAGGCCCGGACACCGGAAGGAUUGACAGAUUGAGAGCUCUUUCUUGAUUCGGUGGGUGGUGGUGCAUGGCCGUUCUUAGUUGGUGGAAC
rnacentral:rRNA from 1 species